CCGAAGUCGGUAGUCUAACCGCAAGGAGGACGCCGCCGAAGGUAAAACUGGUGAUUGGGGUGAAGUCGUAACAAGGUAGCCGUAGGAGAACCUGCGGCUGGAUCACCUCCUUU
rnacentral:rRNA from 1 species